rnacentral:rRNA from 1 species
GAUGAACGCUUGCGGCGUGCCUAAUACAUGCAAGUCGAGCGAAUGGAUUAAGAGCUUGCUCUUAUGAAGUUAGCGGCGGACGGGUGAGUAACACGUGGGUAACCUGCCCGUAAGACUGGGAUAACUCCGGGAAACCGGGGCUAAUACCGGAUAACAUUUUGAACCGCAUGGUUCGAAAUUGAAAGGCGGCUUCGGCUGUCACUUAUGGAUGGACCCGCGUCGCAUUAGCCAGUUGGUGAGGUAACGGCUCACCAAGGCAACGAUGCGUAGCCGCCCUGAGAGGCUGAUCGGCCACACUGGGACUGAGACACGGCCCAGACUCCUACGGGAGGCAGAAGUAGGGACUCUUCCGCAAUGGACGAAAGUCUGACGGAGCAACGCCGCGUGAGUGAUGAAGGCUUUCGGGUCGUAAAACUCUGUUGUUAGGGAAGAACAAGUGCUAGUUGAAUAAUCUGGCACCUUGACGGUACCUUACCAGAAAGCCACGGCUAACUACGUGCCAGCCGCCGCAGUAA